rnacentral:snoRNA from 1 species
CUGCAAUGAUAAUAUAACAUCUAGUCAGAGACUAUCUCUAAAGCAAGAGUAUGUGCUUUCUAACCCUGAGCAAU